AAUGAACAUCGACCCCGCACCUUCCGAAGCCAGGCCUGUAGGUUUUACUUAGGGCACAGCAACUCCACGAGGCUUCGGUGGCUGAGCCACCAGCCACCGGGGAACCACGCUGACAUCAGCCUCACUCAGCCACAGGGAGGUGGAUGGUGACAGAGGAAGCAGACAGCAGUGAACAGCUGAGGCUGGAGGCAGGGGACAGGAAAGGGAAGGGAGCUCCACACCCAGGAACUUGGCUUGCUCCUCCACACAGACGUGUCUUCCUCUCCCUCCCAGGGUACUGACCGCCCCAGUGCUCAUCUCCGUCUGGUCACCAUUGGGCCAGACCUAGUCGGUGAGCUGUGUGUUAAAAGCUGUUACAUCAGUGUUUGGGUGUAGGUGAUUCACAGUCUGAUGUGAAUUCCACUGUUAGCCAUUCCCUUAGCUUUAGAUACAUACCAGUGCUGUGUUUCAGAUCUAUACAUUGAAGAAGGGUCAGUCAUGGAGCAUUAUUCACAAUGAAUAUCUCAAUACAUUAUCUGAAUCUCAGAAGCCAAUCUUUAAAGAUCCUUCAGUCAGAUGCUUCAUUUUAUAGAAGACAAUGCCCUAAGUUUAAAGAAAUAAAACGCCUGUUCAAGGUCCUGCAGCCAGGUUCAGAUAACAGGGUAAGAGGACGGUCUAGCAAAGCUGGCUCCUGGCACACAGGGCGGUGACCUGCCUCGGAGCCUCGGAGCAUCGGCCGGGAGAGGGUGCUGUGCAGGCCUAGAGGGCUCCAUCUGCAGAAGGCUUCAGAAAACAUCUCUAGGUAUUAUUGCUGUGAAUAAGCAUAGGCCAUUGUGACUCACCAGCAUAGAAAAGGGGUAGGGUCAGGGACGUGGGGCGGGAUGCCUAGCUGACAUCAGAAGCAGUUGAACCAUGCAGGGCAGCACACCGUGACCUGUCACUCAGAGGUGCGCUGCGUCCGGCAGAAGAGGGGCCGAGGACACCAAAGGGUCAUGAACAGCCAGCAGACUCUGCCUACCAGCACCCUGCUGCUUGGCAGGGCUGGCACUACUCCUAAUGCUGAGUCUCUGGGCAUAGAGGGGUUGGGCCUUGAAGAUACUCCCCCGGAAAAGCAGGAGUUGAAGUCUGGGCUACCUCUGGUGAGACAACCUGCAGAUCAGGCCACUGGCAGGCUUGCUCCAGGGACUCCUGCACCUGAGUGUUACCGGGCCCAGAAAGAAAGUGGUGCCAGGGGAUGCCCACAAGGCAUCCGGAAUGGUGCAACCCAGACAGCUGUCCAAGGGUUUUGCUCUGGCCGAGGACUGUGGGGGCCUCUUGCUGGGAGACUCAGGCAAGCUGGCCACUGGAUUCGGUUUAGGAGAGGAGUGAGAACAUGGAUGGUGUGGUCAAGGGGCCCACAUGUUGAGGUCCAGGAGACCAACACAUGGAAUUGGAGAAGAGGACUCAAAAAAAAACAAUUGCCGAGGGAGAACAGUGAAGCCAGACAGUAUGCUCCUUCUGGAACACUCUACCUGUAG
rnacentral:lncRNA from 1 species